rnacentral:rRNA from 1 species
GUCCUUUGGCUUAUAAUCUAAGGUCUGUCCUGCCCAAUGAGUAAUUGAAUGGCCGCGGUAUUUUGACCGUGCAAAGGUAGCAUAAUCAUUAGUUUUUUAAUUGAAAGCUGGAAUGAAAGGUUGAAUGAGAAAACAGCUGUCUCUAGAUAAUAAAUUGAAUUUUAUUUUUAAGUAAAAAAGCUUAAAUUUUAUUAAAAGACGAGAAGACCCUAUAGAGUUUAAUAAUUAAUAUUUAUUAGAUUUUUGGAAUUAUUAUUUUAAUAAAUUAGAAUUAUUUGAUUGGGGUGAUUGAAAAAUUUAAUUAACUUUUUUUUUAUUAAACCAUUUAUUUAUGAGUUUUUGAUCCAUUAAUUAUGAUUAAAAGAUUAAAUUACCUUAGGGAUAACAGCGUAAUUUUUCUUUAGAGUUCUUAUUAAAAGAAGAGUUUGCGACCUCGAUGUUGGAUUAAAAUUAAUUUUUGGUGUAGAAGCUAAGAAUUUUAGGUCUGUUCGACCUUUAAAAUUUUACA